rnacentral:lncRNA from 1 species
GUGCCAACUACUGGACCAACCUCACGUUGAUACCAGCAGCAAGAUAACUACAGAAUCUCUCUGUACCUUUGGAAUCGCUCCAGAAAAUUUCAGAUGUAUUGAAUGGCUAAAAACUGCCUUCAUUACUAUGUUAUUCCUCCUUAAAUAACAAACCAAUAUUACAAUCUCCAUCCACCAACUAGGAAAGCAAUAAAUCAGUAAGACUAAACUAGGAAAGCAAUAAACUUGGAGAGAAUUAAACACAAUAAAAAGAACAGAAUUGCAACAAUAAGCAAUCUCCUAAAAAUCCUUUGCAUGGUUUACGGAAUUAUGGUUGAUUGCGGAAUUACGGCGCAUCUUUCUCCUGAUUUGCAUCAAUUGCCAGCUCUCCUGAAGAACUUGACUCUGGCAAGUUUUGACUAGUGUAAGCAGUAAAUAGGCGUGGAUGUAAGCGUUUGAUUUCUGAAGCUUGCAGCCAAACAUAAUCUGAAUUUGGCCUAUUUUUCACUGCACUAAGAACUUGUAAUAUCCACCUCGACGAGUUGUAACAAAUUGAUGGUCAAGAAUGGCAGCAAUCUCGUCUCGUGGUACUGCACUUUCUGGAACUCUCAAAACUGGUAAUGCGGAAAUUUCACUGGGAUCACCCUUGAACUCCGUAAGGUCUUCUAUGUUAAAAACAGGGCUAAUACGAAAAUAAGAGGGUAAGUCAAUAACAUAUGCAUUAGUGCCAAACUUCUUGGUUACUCUAAAAGGACCCGUUCGGCGUGCAUGAAGCUUGGUAAAACUCCUCAGAGGGAAACACUCCGGCCUUAAAUGAACAAGAACCAUAUCUCCUUCAUUAAAUUGUCGAUCCUUGUGUUUGGCAUUUGCUGAAGCUGCAUAAGAACUUGUAUGGAAGCUAAGGCGCUGUUUGCAUUCGUCAUGGACAUCUCGCAUAGAGUUAGAAAAUUCCAGCGCAGCCUUACUUGGCCUGGGCGGCAAUGGUAAUGAGUUAACAUCAAGUGGAGUGCUAGGUCGAAACCCAUAGACCACUUCGAAUGGAGUGCAGCCUAUUGACCUGGUAACCGAAUUAUUGAAUGCAAAUUUGGCAUGUGGAAGUACCGCAUCAUCCUGAUGCAUAACUCGAGAGAAUUGUCACAUCGUCAAAACUGGGACAGUCUCCUUUUCUGUUUCAAAUUCCGAAAUCUGUAAAGGAUCCAACACAAAUUUCUUACCUUUGAAAUUAAAAGAGUAAGUAUUAGCAUAACUGUCAUAGAGAACCCUCCGAUCAUAAAGCCACGGACGUCCCAAUAGCAUAUGGCAGAUGGUCAUAAGAAUCACGUCGCACCAGGCUUCGUCCACAUAUUUCUUUCCCAAUGAAAAUUUAACCAAGCAACGCUGCCUCACUAGGACUGAGUUGGCUUCAUUAACCCAGCUAAAUUGAUAAGGGGUGGGAUGCUUCUCGGUUUUCAGCCCCAAACGUUCAAUGGCAGCUUCGGAGAUCACAUUCAUGCUGCUGCCAUUAUCAAUAAUGACAUUCAAAGCCCGACCAUUAUGCUCCAUGCGUGUGCGAAAAAUAUUGGUCCGCAACCACUCGGGAUUAGCCUGGAGUUCUCUCUUAGUUCCAGUCAACACUCGUUGGAUCACACAGCUAGGUAAGUCUGAUGCACCCAAGUGCUCUUCUUCAUCGUGACUGCUCCCAUCGGUCUUCUCCCCAUCCAUGUUUUCAACCGUGUCCACUACUAAUAAUUCCUUUUCACAUAUAAAGGCUAGCUUCUUAUCUCUUGUAGGACACACAACAGGAUAGUGCCUAAAGCCUUUACAUUUAUAACAUUGUGGUCCUUCACUGUUGACUUGCUUUUUCUUUCUGGUCUCCACUCACUGCACCUCUAGGUUGAUCUUUCAACAAUGGAGGCCUUUGGAAUGAGGGUGUGGUGACAUGCUCGGGCCUUAAAUCUGUCGACGUCAUUUUCCUUCCAACCGAAGGCACUAAUUGUUUCUCAAUACGGAGCGCCAAUUGAUAAGCUUCUUCCACAUUGAUUAAACGAGCAGUCCACAUUUCUUUGUGUAUCUCACUGCAUAGUUCGGUGCGGUAUCGGGCUAAAGUCUGCUGCUCAGUCUCCACGAUCUUGCUACGGACAGUCAAUUCAUGGAAGCGAUCCGUAAAUUGAUCAACACUCAAUGACCCCCGCUUGAGUUGCAACGUCUCCUCAAACAUCAUUUGUUCAUAAUCAACGGGCAAAUACUUUUCCUUCAGUCACUCCUUCAUCUCUUCCCAAUUAAAAACUGCUGGUCGUUGUGUACGGUGUAAUUGUUCUUCCACACUUCCCCACCAUGCUCAUGCAUGCCCCUUCAAUUUCGUCCGAACAUAACGAACCUUUCUAUCCUCCAAUACGGCAAACCAAUCGAAAUAAUCUUCGAUAGCCGUUAGCCAGUCCUCAAAGCGUUGGGCUCUAAUUUUCCAAAAAAAAUCUGGCACAUCAACCUUCAUUCUCUUGGUCAGUUCAUCCAAAGUUUGAUAACCUGUACCAUGACCAGCACGCACUGGGGAAAAUUUUGCCUAUGACGUCGGAUAUGAGGCUCAUGGUCUUCAACCUCCCGGCUUUCUUCUUCCCAUUCCUCUUCAUCAGCAUCUCCCUCAAUUUCGUCUAGCUCUCCCCCACGAGCUGCUCUGCGCUCCAUUCAGUUGAAAGGUCCAUGCUCUUUUCGAACAUAAUGUCCCUCCAUGACAUCUAGUCGAUGAGUGAGCUGCUCCAACACUGUGGUGAUCUGAUUGAUUUGGUGCUGCAACUGGGGCUGGUCUAUUUUUUGAGUGAUUGGAUGUUGGUCGUUUUUAUCUUGGUUGUUUGACACACCGAAGUACCACUGCGGGAUAUGGGCAUGGAUCUUGGUUGCUCUGAUACCAAAAAUUGGUGCCAACUACUGGACCAACCUCACGUUAAUACCAGCAGCAAGAUAACUACAGAAUCUCUCUGUACCUUUGGAAUCACUCUAGAAAAUUUCAGAUGUGUUGAAUGGCUAAAAACUGCCUUCAUUAUUAUGUUAUUCCUCCUUAAAUAACAAACCAAUAUUACAAUCUCCAUCCCCCAACUAGGAAAGCAAUAAAUCAGAAAGACUAAACUAUGAAAGCAAUAAACUUGGAGAGAAUUAAACAGAAUAAAAAGAACAGAAUUGCAACAAAUAUGCAAUCUCCUAAAAAUCCUCUGCAUGGUUUACAGAAUUAUGGGUGAUUGCGGAAUUACGGCGCAUCUUUCUCCUGAUUUGCAUCACAAAGGUAAAAGCUCUCUCACCACACCCUUCUCCUAUCACCGAGACAGCACAACCCUCAACUUCAUGAGGAGUAUUGAAAGGCCUUCCUUUUCUAUGAGCUUUACAACAAAAUUAGAAAGUGAUUUAUUGGGUGGGAAACCAGACAUUUAUCUCUUGGAGGGAGACUAACAUUACUUAUUGCAUUUGCUGCUCCACGCCUUUACACUAGCUUCAAAUCAUUAAACCACUAAUUUGUGUGCAAAGCAGAUUAAGACAACUUUUUAAUGGAUUCUUGUCGGGAAAAUUAUGUUAUUGUUUUAUUCUAUGAUGAUUUUCAUUCCUAGAUAAGGAUAUCUACCUACUAUACACAAUCUCUUGUGUUAUAAAAAGGCAUUGUAAGAUGUUCAUUCGAUCAAUGAAAAUUAUACUUCAUUCACAAAAUUAUACUGUCUAAAAUUCUAACAUGGUAUCAGAGCAUCGGGAAUGACCAAUCCGUGACAGCAAGUGCACCGGCUGGAAUUAAAGAAAUUGGGUUGCUGAAUUAAUAAAAUCGGUUGCCAGAAUUGGGGGCCGGAAUUGGAAUACAAAGUGGGCAGCAUUUUGGAUAGAAAAAGGCAGAGGCUGUUGGUUAUAAUUUGAAGUGGAAUAAAAUAAAAAUUGGAGGCCAAAGAAGAGGAAUCUAUACAUACAAAAACGGCUGCCUGGGAAAGAAUUGAGAAUCAUAUAUACAUACCAACAGAAAGGCGGUAGCUUUUGCUGGGGCUGAAUUGAAUAUAUUGGACACACAGAAAAUGAUAGAUUGAGUAGGCUGGAAAUUGAACUGCGUAAUUAACAAAGUCGGUGGCUGCUAGGGAGUGAAUUAGUGGGAUGCAAAGUUGACUUGUAUACAUAUAUAAUUCCCACAGAAAAUCGAAGCAAGGAAGGAAUUGGAACUAAACAGGUGGCGGCUGCAAGAUAUGGGCUGUGUCAUCGUCGAUCAAAGUUCCUCCACCGUGAGUGUCGCCCCGGGUCUCUCUACCAAGCAAUACAACCAAUUAUUGGAGCCAUUAAAACCCACUUCCAUGGCAUUUGCAGGUGAGUCCCGCCCUCCAUCCAAAUUUUCCCCCAAUUCUCCUUCCAAUUUUUCCUAAAUGCCGUCCCCCUGGGUAAUAGAUAGUGGUGCCACGCAUCAUAUUGCAUCUUCACCCCUCACCAAUUUAAAAUCAUCUACUUGCCCACCUUUUGUUUCUUUACCUAUAGGCUACAUGUGCACAUGCCCCCAUUUCUUCUAUAGGUGAUUUCCCUUAAUCCCUUUAACUCUCCCUAAUGUUUUGUCGGUUCAUGAUUUUAAAUUUAAUAUAUUAUCUGUCAGUCAACUAAUGAAAUCUCUUAAUUUUGCAGUGACCUUUUUCCCCACUUUCUGUGUCUCUCACAACCUAACCACGAAGAUGCUAAUUGGCGUGGGUGAAGAGCGUAAUGGAUUAUACUACUUCAAGCAUGCCCCAGCCACCACUUUCCAAGCAUCUAGCCCUAUCUCUUUUGACACAUGGCAUCACUGUUUGGGUAAUCCCUCAUUACAAAAUAUUCUUUUUUUGAUUCCUCGUCCUCAACAUAUUGCUCAUUGUGACAUGUACUUGUGGAAAAGAUACUUGAUUACCUUUUCAAUCAAUUCCUAAUAAAAGUUUGAUGCCUUUUGAUCGCAUUUUUAGUAACAUUUGGGGUGGCUAUCACACUGCCUCUCUUACAGGUGUGCAUUAUUUUUUUGACCAUAGUGGAUAAAUACAGUUGGGCCACAUGGAUGUACUUAAUGUGUUUCAAAUCUAAAACCUUGGCUUCUAUCCGUGCAUUCUUUUCUAUGAUCCAUAACCAAUUUAAUUCUAAGAUUCGUCACAUACGCAUCAAUAAUGGUCAAGAAUUCCUUGCUUGUACUACUCAGGAUUUUUUCUCUGAGCAAGAUACUAUUCAUGAACGUACUUUCAUGGAAACACCACAAUAGAAUGAUAUUGCUGAGCGCAAACAUCGUCACAUAUUAAAUGUAGUUCGAUUUCUACGCUUUCCAGCAAACCUUCCUCUCUCCUUUUGGGGUGAAUGCGUUCUCAUAGCCACAUAUCUUAUCAAUUGUAUUCCAUCAUCCUCUCUCCAACAUAUUUCUCCCUUUAAGCGCCUUUAUCACACCCCACCUUGUUAUGAUCAUUUACGGGUGUUCGGUUGCCUAUGCUAUACCCAUACCCCUUCUGCUCAUCGUGAUAAGUUCCAAUCUCGUGCUUGUCCCUGUGUCUUCUUAGGAUAUCCACCUUCUCAUAGUGCAUACUGAGUUUAUGACUUAGAGGACAAGAAAAUUGUCAUAUCUAGGGACAUAGUUUUAUCGAACAUGUUUUUCCCUUCAAAAUACAACCCAAACCUUCCUCGUUACCCCUAAUCUUGCCUCUUCCUGUCACUGAUCAUUCUCUUUUGCUAGCACCAUCCCUCCCCUUUCGCCAGCAUCAUCCCUUCCUCUUCCACCAUCUGAGUCCUCUUCUCUCCCUACUCGCCCUUGACGUACCAUACAACGUCCUCCUCAUCUAGCUGACUAUAUUUGCCCUACGCUACCAUCGUUUUCUUCCGUAACGACUCCCACUGACCUUGAUGCAUCUUCAGGUAUGGCUCAUCCCUUAUCUCAUUUUGUUUUAUAUCAUAAAUUUUUCCCUGACCAUUUCGCCUUUCUGUCUGCUUUAUCGAAAUUCUCUGAUCCUACUUGAUAUUCUCAAGCUGUCCAGCAUUCCCAUUGGCGUGAUGCGAUGUAGACUGAGAUUCAAGCCCUUGAAACUAAUAAUACUUGGACUCUUACACCCCUUCCUCCUGACAAGAAACCUAUUGGUUGUAAGUGGGUCUUUAAAACAAAGCUCCAUGCAAAUAGUUCAUUGAACGACAUAACGCUCGGUUGGUGGCUAAGGUUUACACUCAGGUAGAGGGUCUUAAUUAUCAUGACACUUUUGCUCCAGUGUCUAAACUUAUUAUUGUUCAUUGUAUCUUAGCUAUUGAACAGCCUACAAUUGGCAUCUUCACCAACUUGAAGUUGAUAAUGCAUUUCCUUAUGGUGAUUUGGAAGAUGAUGUCUAUAUGAUGCUCCUUCCCAGGUAUGGUCAACAGGGGGAGACUCGUGUUUGCCGUUUACUUAAGUCUCUCUAUGGUCUUAAGCAGGCCUCUUGGAAUUGGUACUCAAAGCUUUCCUCUGUCUUAUUAUUUGAUGGUUUUACACAAUCUGCUGUGACCACUCACUUUUUACUCGGACUAUUGGCUCAUCUCAAACUGUGGUUCUAGUUUAUGUUGAUGACAUUUUGGUUGCAGGCAAUGAUCUCUCAGCCAUAACUGUUCUAAAAAAAUCCCUUGAUAAACAUUUUAAAAUCAAGGAUUUGGGUAAAAUAAAAUAUUUCCUUGGUCUUGAAGUCGCCCGAUCUUUGUCUGGAAUUUUUGUCAACCAAAGAAAGCAUACAUUGGACAUUCUUGCAGAUUCUGGCAAUUCAGGAUCCCAGCCAGCUUCUUCUCCUAUGGAGCAAAAUUUGAAACUUACUUCUGAUGAUGGUGAUUUGCUUUCUGACCCUAGCAUAUAUCGUCGGUUGGUGGGUCGCCUUCUAUAUCUCACUAUCACUCAUCCAAAUAUCUCCUUCUCCGUCAACAUGUUGAGCCAAUUCAUUCAAAGUCCUCGAGAACCUCAUUAUCGAGCUGCUCUCCAUGUUCUACGGUAUUUGAAGAGCACUCCAGCCCAUGAUCAUUUUUAUUCUACUCAGUGUGAUUUUUGGCUUACUGCAUACUCUGAUUUUGAUUGGGCGAGUUGUCCUACCACUAGUCGUUCCACCACUAGUUUUUUUAUCACACUUGGAACCAGUCCUAUCUUUUGGCGCAUGAAGAAACAAUCAAUUGUUUCUUGCUCCUCUGUCGAAGCUGAGUACCGUGCAAUGGCUACAACCACAUGUGAACUUGUCUGGCUCAAGUCUCUUUUACAUGACCUUGCUGUUUUACACCUACAACAUAUCAUGCUUUUUUGUGACAAUGAGGCUGCUCUCCACAUAUCUCGUAACCUUGUAUUUCAUGAACGAACCAAGUAUAUUGAAAUCGAUUGUCACUAUAUUCGUGAAAAAUAUCUUUCUGGACUCAUUGUUCCCACUCACGUCUGCUAAGGACCAAUUGGCUGACGUUUUCACAAAAGCUCACAACAAGGAUCUUUUCCAUCAUUUCACUCACAAGUUGGGGAUUACGGAUCUCCAUACUCCAACUUGAGGGAGAGUAUUAAAUACUUGCACAUUUAGAUUUCCUUGUUAGUUAUAUUGCUUUUAUUCUAUGAUGAUUUUCAUUCCUAGAAUAGGACAUCUACCUAUUAUACACAAUCUCUUGUGCUAUAAAAAGGCAUUGUAACACGUUCAUUCAAUCAAUGAAAAUUAUACUUCAUUCACAAAAUUAUACUUUGAAAAAUUCAAACAGAAACUAUGGUGAAGAUUUCGAUCAGCUCCAAGGAAGAAAUAUGUUGCUUGGAAAUUGGGAAGACAAAAUAUCUUAUUGGUAUGACCACUAGCUGGGAGAUAGGACUCUAGCAGUAUCCGUUCAGAAGAAGAAGCACAAGAUUACUAACGGCUCAACUUCCACCAGUAGUAGUAAACUCAAUACUAUAAAUUCCGAUUUUCCCUGGGCAGCCGGCUACCAUUUUUUGGAAAAAUAAUGGUGAUUUCACAUGCUCGUCCUGAUGGGAAGCAAUUCCUACAAGCUCUUAUUGCAUUCUGCCAUUCCACACACACACACACUUUCUCUCUCUCUCUCUCUUGUUGUAGAAUUUGGCACAAUUUGGCUCUAUGUUACUGUGACGCAAAUAUUCCAGGUAUGAGUGCUGGAAGAAGAGCCGUGCUGGAAGAAGAGACAAGAUCUGAGUCUACCUAGCUUGUUGGGACGUUGGUGGCCAACACCGUUGGGAUAAUGGGAUUGAUUAUGUUUUUGUUUUGUUAUUAUCCAUUUGUUUAUUUUAAUAUUAUCUUUAUGCAAUCAAAAUAAAUUGUUGGGUAGGAUGAAUCCUUAGUUUGAGUUGGUUUUUUUUGAAGCGUGUUGCUUCAGGGAGAGACUCCCAACAAUCUUCCAUUUCAGGUUUUUUUGUCCAGCAAUAAAGUCUUUACAUUCAGCUUUGUUUGGUUGGCAGAACCUGGUGGUUCCUUGGAGUGAUUCCAAGCCCCAUUUCCAUUAUUCAUUCCAUCAAUUAAAAUAAACUCUUUGCUUCAAAAAUCUGUGCUUUAUUUAAAUUCUUUUCUACAAUUUUCUGUUGCUAUCAGAGUCGGCCCUUGGUCCAAGCCACUCUCAUUUUGGCUUGGGCCCAGGGCUCAAAAUCCAUAUUAGUUUCAAAAUAGAAAAAGGGUUUGGGGCCUUUUGGCUUGGAGUCUUGGACUAAUGGACUGUAAUUUCCUCUGGAGUCUGCACUAUAUUGUGUACUGAUCUUUUUUUCUUUUCAACUCGACUUCCUCUCAGCUUCCAAAAUUCUCCAGCGAUCAGCGCAAAGUGACGAAAAUUUGAAAUCUACUGCGAAACCCCAAUCUCUCCGCUUCUCGUAGACUCGCAUGCCGAAUUCCAUUUUAUAUCUUCUGAGGUCUUUUUCUCCUCUCUGUGCGCCGCCAUUAAUUGCUCUAUUUAACUGUUAAGUUCAUGAGGAGGUGGACUUGCAAGUCUUGCAUUUUCAUCCACCAAAUUACUGAAAGAGGACUUGGAUUUAUUUAUUUGUAUUUUUUAUUUUUGUUCUUUUUUCUAACUUUCUAUGUGCUGAAUCUGCUGAUUGGUACAUUUUAUUCUCUUUUCGGAUCAUCAUUUUCGUAAGUAAAAUGGUUUAAUAGAUGUCUCUGCUUUGCUUGAUUACUUCCAUUUCAUCCCAAAUCACUGAAAUCAGCGCGAACCGUAGGUUUUUGACAUUUUGUUCUCCAAAUCAAUUUCUGCAAUUGGGAAAUGGAAAGUUGCAUCCUCGUCGUAGUAUUUUCCAACAAGGAGUCUCUCAUUUGAAAUUGACAUUUGAAGAACAAUUAUGGUUGGUUUAGCUGGUAUCUGGAAGUUGUAGGGAACACAUGUUCUUGAUGCCCAUUUUUGAAUUGUAGUGGUCCUUUUUUUUUUUUUUUUUUUUUUUGGCAUAUUGUUACUUGUUAGCGUAAAGAAGUAGGGAUAUAGGUGUGGGGAUGUUAGGAUGUUGGUGUAUUGUUAGUGUGGAGAUGUACUGAUGUAGAGUUUGUUCUAGUUUAUAAAUUCCAGUUUGUAAUUGAAUGGCGAAAUAGGAAUUCCAGUUUAUGAUUGGGCAGUUUGUUGGUGUACUGUUAUGUGAAGGUUUGAUUUAUGGAGUUUCGUUGUUUGAAUUGACAGUGUAGUUUAUGACUGCUGUGAAGUGUGAACUUAUUGCAGGUUAUUUUUCCUAAUUUUUGAACUGGCUAUGAAAAUCAUAAGCAGUGUUAACCAAUGAUGCACUUCAAGUUUUCAAGAAACAAUGCAUUUCUUCAUCAUUUAUGUUGGUAUUGCUCGGGUGUAGUUUAAAUGUUAUUUGGUCAUUUCUUGCAGGUUGAUUGUUGAACUCCUUCUGUUAUGACCCACUCACUCAUAGUCAAAGUCAAGAAAAUUAUUUACUCAAAGUCCAAAAUUCAAUUGGUCAAAGUCAAUCUCAAAUAGAGAUUUAAAUGAAAUAAAUUAUUUUAUUGGGGUUUAAUUUAUUAUGAAAAAUAGUUAAAGGUUUGAAAUGGAUAAAACUUAAUUUUAGGGAUCUACUUAUAUAUUAUUGGAAGUAAAGGACUAGAUGUUAUAUUAAAUUGAAGAAUAAGGACUUUCUUUGCAAAAAUGAGUUAGUGGAGUCCAAAAUGUCCAAAUAUUAAUCCCAUUGCCUUGACUCUUCAUUUGCAUACAUAUGUAUAGAAGAAUUGGAGACGGCAGGGAAGAAGAUCCGAGAGAAAGGAAGAAAAAGAGAAAGAAAAGAAGGAAAAAAAAAAAAAGAGGAAGAAGAAAGAAGAAAAAAUAGAAAAUUUUUGCCAAGUUGUUAGAAAAUAAGUGGUCUACACUAUCAGGCUUGAAUUCCUCAAUUUUGAAAGGUAAGUAAAAAAUUACUUAUUGUUAAGUUAUAUUUGAUUUUAUAGUUGUUAUAUUAUUAGACUAAAUUCAAUUUUAUUGAAGGAGUUAAGUAUGAUAAACUAUGAAAUUGAGUAAAGUGAAAGAAAAACUAGUUUUAGUGAUCAAAGAGACUGUAAAAAUUGCUUAAACGUGAAAUGAUUAAGUUUGGGUAUUGCUUAUUUAAUUAUUGAAAUUAUUUAAAAUAAUUGAUUGUUUAUUUAAAAAUUAUAUCGCAUUUCAGGCGACGAUAUUAACAUCAGUACAACUUAUCAACCGGAUUGAUUUUGCGAAUAUAGUACUGCGAGUGGAAAAAUAUAAAUAUUUUUAAAGUAUUUAUAAAUUAAGUUUAUUGUUAAAGUAUGUGCAAUUAUAUGCAAUUAUGUGUUCGAAUUAUAGGGUUAUUAUGGAAAUAUCUUUUAUUAUGAUACAUGUGAGAUUUCAAAGAUUGUAUACAGUACAUUGUGAAUUGGGAUAUGAGAUAUGAUUUUGAGAUCGGGCUGAAAAGUACCCGUGAUUAUAUAUUUCUUCUAGUUCACUGAGGAGUCUUAGCCCUAUACUACACUGAGGGGUCUUGGACCGGGGAUGAAGGGGUCUCGAUCGUGUACAUAUAGUUCACUGAGGGGUCUUGACCGUAUUCUAGAGUUGAUUAUGAGAGGUCUUUGAAACCGACUUUCGUUCACGAAGGGGUCAAAGACCCGUAACGAAAGUUCUUAGCUCGAGGGGCGGAUUAUAUAUUUCAGUCAGAGGGUAUAUUUUUGGUGGAUUUUUCAGCACGUUUGAUGUAAUGAGAUUAUAGCAUGGUUAUCAGCUGAUGUUUAUAUCAUGAUUUUGAGAUGAUAUUUUACGACCUUAUGUGAAUAUUUCACUUUUGGUUAUAAUUACAUGAUUUUAUCUUGUGAAUUAUUAAACGACAUGAACUCGAUUUUUGAUAGAAAUGUAAAAUUGAAAAAGUAUAAUUAUUUUCGAACUUCUCCACUCACUGAGCUAUCAACUCAUAUAUUUUUUCACGAUUUUUCUUAUAGGUAGCAAUUGAUUCUUUUUAGUUGGAAGAGCCUAAUGAUUUUGGAAUGAAAGCCACACAAUAUGUUCAAUAUUAUAACUUAUAUUGAUGAAGCACGAAAUAAAUAUUUUGGGUCCAUCGCAUUAUGUUUUACAUAAGCAUUUGAUUUUGUUGCAUUUUUUGAAAUAACUCGUGGUCAGGCUUGGUGAUAGAUUUGACAUCUAGUCAGCAUCUAUCAUCGAGCACGUCACGUUUCGGGUCCACUAGGGUGAUUCGGGACGGGUUGUGUCACCUUCACUUGGCAUAUUUGAGAACCUGGGGUAUUUUUAAUUCAAACUCUGAAUCAGGUUCUACCGUUAUUUGCUAUAAUUAUGGUUUAAUGGAUUAGUUAUGAUUUCUAUUGAAAAAAAAUGUUGGAAAACCUUCAUUUAAGAUGUUUGACUACUAAUUUUACAUCUCAAAACAUAAGAAGAAAUAUGAUACUAGCCUAAUCUCUAAAAAGUGAGAAGACUAAUUUCUGUAAGUGAUAUUUUAUCUAGCAAUUUUAUCUUUGAGAUUGUAUAAAGAUUUCACACACACACACACACACAUGUAUAUACAUGUAUAUGUACGUAUAUUUUUUCAUUUAACUAUUGUUAUACGUGUAGAAAAACAAUGUACGGGGGCCUCAACGGGCCAACUCGCUUAGGGCCUCCGAUUUGUCAGGGCCGGCUCUGUGUUGCUUCAUACCGUCUCUUUCUCGGUAGAGCUGUUCGGGCAAUAAGCUUUGAUAGAGGAAAGGUGGUAUCCGGAUCAAAUGAUCAGCCUGUGCUUGUGUGGGAUAAGCAGACAGAUCAGCUACUAGAAGAACUAAAGGGCCACAAUUCACAGGUUUGGUUGGGGCAUUUCCUACAUUAUAUUCUUAAUUUUAUUUUCCUUUGCAUGUUGAGAAGUGCCUUUUUUGGUUUUUUUUGAUGUAUUUGUCAGUUUUUCACAAAACUUUCCGUCAGAGCUAUAAUAUGUAAAAAUUGGAAUAACUGAAAUAUAAAAGAAAAAGAAUUACAUGGCUUGCAUUGACGAAGAGGAUCAUGGAUUGAGCUUAUUAUGCUUUGAUCAAGUUUUAGAUGCAAGUUCCGGACAUAAUUAAGCAAUGUUAUCUGGGCUCAAAUAAUAUAAGGUCAAAAUAUUCUGGAAGAUUUACUCCUCAAACUUUCCGAGAUUUAAUAAGUAAUAAUGGUAGCUGUGAAGAAAGAAUACAUCUUUUAUGCAACCCAAGGCUUUCUGUUCAUAUUUGAACACUCUUUAGCCAUGUUGUAAAAGCUGUAAAAAGGUUCCACAUAGUUGUGAGGCCUUUCUAAAACUCCUUGCAUGUGGGCAAGGCGUGGAAAAAGGUGGUCAACUCCUUUUUUGAG